GACGAACGCUGGCGGCGUGCCUAACACAUGCAAGUCGAGCGGAGAUAUAUUGAAGAUUUAUCGGAUAUAUAUCUUAGCGGCGGACGGGUGAGUAACGCGUGGGUAACCUGCCUUAUACAGGGGGAUAACACAGGGAAACUUGUGCUAAUACCGCAUAAUAUCAUUGUAUGGCAUCAUAUGAUGAUCAAAGGAGCAAUCCGGUAUAAGAUGGACCCGCGUCCAAUUAGCUAGUUGGUGGUGUAACGGACCACCAAGGCGACGAUUGGUAGCCGAACUGAGAGGUUGAUCGGCCACAUUGGGACUGAGACACGGCCCAGACUCCUACGGGAGGCAGCAGUGGGGAAUAUUGCACAAUGGGGGAAACCCUGAUGCAGCAACGCCGCGUGAAGGAUGAAGGUUUUCGGAUCGUAAACUCUUUGAUGAGGGACGAAUAAUGACGGUACCUCAAGAACAAGCCACGGCUAACUACGUGCCAGCAGCCGCGGUAA
rnacentral:rRNA from 1 species